GAUGGACGCUGGCGGCGUGCCUAAUACAUGCAAGUCGAGCGAACGGACGAGAAGCUUGCUUCUCUGAUGUUAGCGGCGGACGGGUGAGUAACACGUGGAUAACCUACUUAUAAGACUGGGAUAACUUCGGGAAACCGGAGCUAAUACCGGAUAAUAUUUUGAACCGCAUGGUUCAAUAGUGAAAGACGGUCUUUCUGUCACUUAUAGAUGGAUCCGCGCUGCAUUAGCUAGUUGGUAAGGUAACGGCUUACCAAGGCAACGAUGCAUAGCCGACCUGAGAGGGUGAUCGGCCACACUGGAACUGAGACACGGUCCAGACUCCUACGGGAGGCAGCAGUAGGGAAUCUUCCGCAAUGGGCGAAAGCCUGACGGAGCAACGCCGCGUGAGUGAUGAAAGUCUUCGGAUCGUAAAACUCUGUUAUUAGGGAAGAACAGAUGUGUAAGUAACUGUGCACAUCGUGACGGUACCUAAUCAGAAAGCCACGGCUAACUACGUG
rnacentral:rRNA from 1 species